AACGAACGCUGGCGGCGUGCCUAACACAUGCAAGUCGGACGGGGUCAUAUUGAAGUAGCAAUACGGAGGUAUGACUUAGUGGCGGACGGGUGAGUAACACGUAGGUAACCUACCCUUAAGAGGGGGGCAACUCAGGGAAACUUGAGCUAAUACCCCAUAAGACCACGGGCUGGGAGGCUUGUGGUAAAAGCAGCGAUGUGCUUAAGGACGGGCCUGCGGCCUAUCAGGUAGUUGGUGAGGUAACGGCCCACCAAGCCAAAGACGGGUAGCCGGGCUGAGAGGUUGAACGGCCACACUGGAACUGAGAAACGGUCCAGACUCCUACGGGUGGCUG
rnacentral:rRNA from 1 species